rnacentral:rRNA from 1 species
CGCUAGUAAUCGCGAAUCAGAAUGUCGCGGUGAAUACGUUCCCGGGUCUUGUACACACCGCCCGUCACACCAUGGGAGUUGGAAAUGCCCGAAGUCAGUGACCCAACCCGUAAGGGAGGGAGCUGCCGAAGGCAGGUCUGAUAACUGGGGUGAAGUCGUAACAAGGUAAC